UACGUAGGUGACCAGCGUUGUCCGGAUUUACUGGGCGUAAAGAGCGCGUAGGCGGUCGUUCAAGUCGAGUGUGAAAGCCCCCGGCUCAACUGGGGAGGGUCACUCGAUACUGAUCGACUUGAAGGCAGGAGAGGGAAGCGGAAUUCCCGGUGUAGUGGUGAAAUGCGUAGAUAUCGGGAGGAACACCAGUGGCGAAGGCGACGUCCUGGCCUGUUCUUGGCGCUGAGGCGCGAAAGCGUGGGGAGCGAACAGG
rnacentral:rRNA from 1 species